AGUGAACGCUGGCGGUGGGCCUAACACAUGCAAGUCGAACGGCAGCACAGUAAGAGCUUGCUCUUACGGGUGGCGAGUGGCGGACGGGUGAGGAAUACAUCGGAAUCUACUUUUUCGUGGGGGAUAACGUAGGGAAACUUACGCUAAUACCGCAUACGACCUACGGGUGAAAGCAGGGGAUCUUCGGUCCUUGCGCGAUUGAAUGAGCCGAUGUCGGAUUAGCUAGUUGGCGGGGUAAAGGCCCACCAAGGCGACGAUCCGUAGCUGGUCUGAGAGGAUGAUCAGCCACACUGGAACUGAGACACGGUCCAGACUCCUACGGGAGGCAGCAGUGGGGAAUAUUGGACAAUGGGCGCAAGCCUGAUCCAGCCAUACCGCGUGGGUGAAGAAGGCCUUCGGGUUGUAAAGCCCUUUUGUUGGGAAAGAAAAGCAGCAGGUUAAUACCCCGCUGUUCUGACGGUACCCAAAGAAUAAGCACCGGCUAACUUCGUG
rnacentral:rRNA from 1 species